rnacentral:rRNA from 1 species
CAGUCGCCGCGGGAAUACGAAGGGGGCUAGCGUUGUUCGGAAUUACUGGGCGUAAAGCGCACGUAGGCGGAUAUUUAAGUCAGGGGUGAAAUCCCGCAGCUCAACUGCGGAACUGCCUUUGAUACUGGGUAUCUUGAGUAUGGAAGAGGUUAGUGGAAAUGCGAGUGUAGAGGUGAAAUUCGUAGAUAUUCGCAGGAACACCAGUGGCGAAGGCGGCUAACUGGUCCAUAACUGACGCUGAGGUGCGAAAGCGUGGGGAGCAAACAGGAUUAGAUACCCGCGUAGUCCCUGUCUCUUAUAC